GUACAGAGACGUCCCGGAGCCACGAGGGAGUAACGGCUAACCCGGGGGAGGGGGUGGCGAAGGUGAUUCCAGGCACUUUGUGGAGAGACGAGCUAUGGCGAGGAAGAAUCCACUUUGAAGAGCAGCCCCCGCCCCUCCCCGAUACGUUACUUCCGGGGCGUGGCGGGCAGAGGGGCCCGGAUGCGCCGCCGCUUUUUAGUUUCUGAGGCGGCGGCGGUGUUCCUGGUAGCGUCCGCCUCCUGGCUUUUCCUUUUCCUGAACGCUUCAGGGCUCCGCGGCCUGCGCUAGACUGGAGGGUCCGCGUCACUCUCGCCCUCCUGCUUUCCGCGCUCUGACCCGCUCCCACCUCCUGAGGGCACGACUUGGAGGAGCGCGGGCGGCGGGGCGUGAGCGAGCUGCCUCUGCCGCCAUCUUAGAGAAGGCGAGCGUGGGUUGUGCGUGGGCGCGAGUCGGCCUCCCGCGGUCCCGCCGCAGCGUGGCGCGGAGAGAAAUAAAUUAUUUGCUAAGAAGUCACAGAAAAGACCCAGUAUUGGACCACUCUAACAGUUAUCACCUGUUAUAGUGCAAAACACACUGUGUGAUCAAUAAAAAAAGUACUGACUCAAUGACCCUACAAUGAAAUACAAAGCACUGACUUUCUGGAAAAGCCAGAAACCAUCAGCGUCUAAGGAACCAGCUGCAGAGGUGGCAGAACUGAAUGAUGUAUAAUAAGUGGAUCUACACUGGAGCUUAAUCUAGGUGGAAGUUCUAGAUUAAGGAAGUAUCUAUUAUAAGAGUAAUUUCUAUAAGACUGUUUUUAAGUUAACUUAGUUGUACAAUUAAAACAUAAGUUGUUAGCAUCUCUUGAAAAAGCCAUACCUCUGUAUUUGACAAUCAUCUUUGGAAAAGAAACAAAAUUCUGAAAGUUUAUUGUAGACUUCAAAAGAUACAAUGCUUACCUGCCAGAAACAGGUAAGACAGGCUGGAAGUUGUAAUAACUUUUGGAAAGGAAGUUGACGGAACGUUCCUCGAAUAUCCACAAACAAUCUUAAUCUCAUGUCAACUAUAAUGAAGCAAUGUAAAGUGUUUAGUAAGAGGAAAAACUGGACCCGGGAUAUCCCUUCCCAUCUGGCCACAUAAAAGGUUUCAGAAAGGCCAUCGGAUCUACUUGGAGGAUAUUAAUGCAUUAAAAUUCUCUAAAGAAAUGAGGCAUUAAAUAAGGAAUCCAUUUAUCCACUUGAAGUAAGUUCAGAAGGAAGAACACAGAAAGCGACAGACCUAUGAUAUCUCUCACCCAAUUUACUUUCAGGCUAUAGGUAAUACUGAUAAUCAAGAACAGCUUUAUUAGGAUGAGAUUUUGAAAUCUAUUCCAACACAUACUGUGGUUUUUAAUUUCUGCUUCUAACCAAUUUUUUCAGCUAACAAAGGUAUUGGAAUAGUACAUUGAUGAUAAUCAGUAUUUUCGUGCCAUCUUGGGGAUAUAAAAGAGUUUGUAAUCCUUUAUUAAAAUAUAAUUCACAUACAAUAAAUUCACUCCUAUUAAGUGUACAAUUAGAUAAAUGUUAGCAAAGUAUGCAGUCAUUUGACCACCACCGCAAUCAGAUAUUGGACAUUUCUAUCAACAUCAAAAGCUUCCUUGUGCUUUUGUAGUCAACUCUCUCUUACCAAUUACCUCACCCGAUCCCCAGGAAAACUUUGAUAAGCUGCCACUAUAUUAUUCCUUUAACUAGAAUGCUACAUAAAUGGAACAUACAAUAUUUAAAUUUUGCUUGGGGGGGUGGGCGCUGUGGCAGAAUGUUUCUGACAUUCACCCAUAUUGUUGUGUAUAUCAAUAAUUCAUUUACUUUUAUUGCUGAUUAGUAUUCCAUUGUAUGGAUAUACCAGAGUUUGUUUCAGAUAUUUGUUAUUAUGAAUAAUGCUACCAUCAUUGUAUAUAAGUGUUCUUGCCACAAUAAUGCUGCCACAAUUUAUGUAUAAGUGUGCCUGGAGAUAGAUGUUUUCAUUUCACUUUGAUAUACACCUAGGAGUGAAAUUACUAGGUCAUAUACCAAGUGUAUGUUUAAGAAAUUGCCAAAAUGCUUUCCUAGUGCCUUUAUCAUUUUGUAUUCCUACCAGAAAUGUAUGAGAGUCCUAAUUGCUCCACAUCCUUGCCAACUCUCAUUGUGGUUUUAAUUUGUAUUUCCCUAAUGACUAGUAAUGUUAAGCUGCAUUUCCUGUGUUAUUGACUGUCCCAUUUCUUCUUUUGUGAGAUAUCUGUUCAUGUUUUACCCCCUCCUUUUUUUUUUUUUUUUUUUUGGUCAUCUUCUUCUUGGAUUAUAAAAGUUCAUAUAUUUUGGACACAAAUCCUUCAUCAGACAUACAUAUUUUGCAAAUAUUUCUCCCAGUGUAUGGCUUGCCUUUUUGCUUCCUUGAAGGUAUCUUUCAAAGAACAAAGACUUUAAUUUUGAUGGUCUAAUCUGUUAAUAUCUUUUUUUAUUCUGCCUUUUUUGUUUUACCUAAAAAGUCUUUGCCUAAUCCAAAGUUUAUCUCAUCUGUUUCCUUAACACAGUUUUAUUAUUUUUGCUAAGUUUAGGUCUAUGAGAUGUUUUGAAUUAAAUGGUGUGUAAGACAUGACAUAAGGAUUAAGAGUCACAACUUUCCAUACAGAUUGUUUCGUAUCCUAUUGUUCCGGCACCAUUCAUUAAAAAGACUACUGGUCUCCACUGAAUUCCCUUUCUGUCUUUGUCAAAAAUAAGUUGUCCAUAUGUGUGCGGUUCUAUUUUGGGAUUCUCUAUUCUGUUCUAUUGAUAUGUUUGUCUAUCUUUACCCCAAUACCACACUACCUUGUAUACUGUAAAUUUAUAAUUUUGAAAUCAGGGAGUAUUUUUGUUUUUCUUUUUAAAGAUUGUUUUCUAUAUUCUAAGUCUUUUGUAUUUCCAUAUGAAUUUUACAAUCAAUGAUUUGGGUUAACAUUGUGUUGAAUCUACAGAAUAAUCUGGUAAGAACUGACAUGUUAAUAAUAUUAAGUCUUCUGACCCAUGAAAAAGGUACAUCUCUUCUUUUAUUCUGGUCUUCUUUAAUUUCUCUCAGUAAUGUUUUUUAGUUGUUAGUAUACAGAUCUUCCACAAUUUUUAUCAGAUUUAUCCCUAAGUAAUCAUAGUUUUGAUGCUAUUGCAAAUAAUAUUGUUUUUAAAUUUCUUUUGUUCAUUACUAGUAUAGAGAAAUGUAACUGAUUUUUAUUAUGAUCUUUUAUAUCCUGGUACCUUUUUAAAGUCACUUCUAGUAGUUUCUUUGUUGAUACCACCAGAUUUUCUAUGUAGAUGAACAUGUCAGCUGGGAAUAACAACAAUUUUAUUUCCACCUUUUCAAAAAGUAAAACACUUCUUCCAAAAUCCCUCACCCUACUCAGGACUCAGAGAUAAACACUAUUAACAAAUUUUGGUUUUAGUUCCUCUGGCAAUCACAGUAUUAUUUUUCAUGAUAUCUGUGAUUCUCUUUCAAAUUUAGAUAAUAUCUCUUGAAACUCUACAAUGAAUGAUGAAAAAAUUAUACUAUUUUCCCUUCCUUCACCUUGUUUUUCUCACUCGGACUCCAAUUUUUAAAAUUACAUUAUACUUUUACAUUGUCUGGGUUUAUAACAGUUGUUUCCAUUUCUGACCAUAAGGUGGGUUAGGUAAACUGAAUGAUCCUCCUUCAGCAAAUACCUAAAAAUUCUAGAUAAAGUAUUUUAAAACAGCUUAUUAAAUGCACUGGUGAGCUGGCAAGAAAGAGAAAUUCUCAAAGACGUACAAAGGAUCAAAAGUCCAAAUCAAAAAACUAAACCAGUACUGAGGAAGGAAAUCUACCCUUCUUUCAUAAGCUAGAAUUACUAUUUUAAUGGCCUCUUGGAAACUGGAGACAAAACCUUGGACCUCAUGAACUGAGAAGUUAUAAUCUGAAACCCCUCCACAGAGCCAGGACCAGAAGGGCUACACCUUCAAUGAAAGUGAAUUUUCAUUAAAAGUAAAGAAAACAAGCAGUCAUGUAAGCAAGAAGGUACAGAAGAAGACAUGGAGGACUGGGAGUCUUGAGUCAAAAAUGGUCCUGUACAAAAUCCUUUUCAGGGUCAAUUAAAACCUAUUUCACUUUCAUUUAUUUAAUCAUCAUUUUCAAUGACUGUUGAUGAGUAGGGUUUCAUUUUAUUAUUUCUUUUACUUUGCCAUUUCAUCUUAAUCUCUGAAUACUUUUUUCCAGUGGUUGUUGGAUACCAGUGCAUUUGUGAACAGAAGAAGAAAUAUUAGUUAUCCUAACCUAUAAUACUAACUUUCAGCCUAAUCCACAAUGUAUAAUAAAUAUCACUGGGUAUCUGAAGCUUAUGAAUUUUCAUUUCAGUUUUAAAAUGUUUUUAGCUUUGGCAUGGUGGCUUAUGCCUGUAAUCCCAGCAUUUUGAGAGGCUGAGGUGGGAGGAUCAUUUGAGACCAGGGAUUCGGUUUGCAGUGAGCUAUGCACUUCAAGGUGAAGGAAGGGAAAAUAGUAUAAUUUUUUCAUCAUUCAUUGUAGAGUUUCAGACUGCACUCCAGCCUGGGCUACAGAACAAGACAUUGUCUCUAAAAAAUAAAAAAUGUUUUUGUGCUAAAGGAAUUAGUAUGCUAUUGCUUGAAUUUUGUUAAUCUGAGAUUAUAAAACACACAAAAAUAUUACAAAGCUUAUCUGUUUCCUUUAAAAUUUUUAAAGCCUUACUUUUUAUACUUUUCUCCGAAUUGAAUAAAAGGAAGAAUAAGUUAAGAACCACUUGAUAACUAUAUUAACAAUAUUGAGUUGGUGUCAAGAACUAGAAAGUAGGAAUAUAAAAAUUAAAAUUUGACAAAGGUUUAAAACCAUGAUUUUAAAAAAUAUCCAGACUUAAUCUUUUGCUCCUUUAAAAUGUGGUUCUUAAAUGUGCAUAGUCUGUAACCCUUUUACUCAUAACUCCCUACAAAUUGAUUCAUUGGUUUCACAGAUUUUCUCCAUAGAAAAUAUAAAAACUUGAUUUCUAAUUUUUCAUUGUGCUAUAGUUUUUCUCCAUCAUGGGUGUGUAUAUUUUUUAAAUUCUAAAUGGGUUUUUAGGUAAGCUUGGAAGCUAUGUAAUUAGGCAUUUUCCUUAUCCAGUUUUGAAGUAUGCGAAUAAGUGCUUUUAAAAGAAAUGUAGUUAUUUUCAUCCAAACAUACCUUUAUUCUCAUGUUAGACCAUCCUAAAUUUAACUUUCACUAAUGACCUCCAAAAUGAUUAGAAAUUUUUUGCACUUCCUAUUAGGACAAUUACAUUUUAUUUGUGCAGGUUUAAAAUUGUGUUUUAUUGUGCAUCACAAGAGUUUACCCAACUUUCUGUGAACUUGGGUCUCAGAAAUAGCUUCAUUACUGUGUUACUUUUGGAAAUCACUUUACCUCACCGGGCUUCAAUGUUUGGUCUAUAAAUGGAUUGGCAUUUUUUAAAGUUUAAGGAAGAGUCCACUUUGAUGUUGAUGAGUCUAAGAAAUGUGAACAGUGCAGCUGUUUCACCUUGAGUUUGUAAUUUCUGAUGGGUUAUUUGGUUAUUGGCAAAAUAACCUGAAAAUAUAGCAGUGUUAAAGCUCCUGAAUAGAUACCAGUAUAUUUUAAUGCAGUUUAGUUUUUGAAGUUUUAUGACGUCUAAAUUUCUACAUUCUACUUUCUUUUUCUUUUCUUUUUUUUUUCUUUUUUUUCUGAGAGGGAGUCUUGGUCUGUUGCACAGGCUGGAGUGCAGUGGCGCAAUCUCGGCUCACUGCAACCUCUGCCUCCUGGGUUCAAGCGAUUCUCCUGCCUCAGCCUCCCGAGUAGCUGGGACUACAGGUGCCCGCCACCACGCCUGGCUAAUUUUUGUAUUUUAGUAGAGAUGGAGUUUCGUUAUGUAGAUCAAGCUGGUCUCGAACUCCUGACCUCAAAUGAUCUGCCUGCCUCGACCUCCCAAUUCUACAUUCUACUUUCUAUUAGUAAAAGUGAAUAUAGAAAGAUUGUACUCUGACACAAGCUAGAACUUGAAUUUGUAUACAUUCUGGACCUUAUGUAAAAAUUUUAACACAAUAAAUUUUUGAUGAAAUAAUUAUUCAUUAAAGCAAAAUUUCUCCAUAUAAAUGGGCUUUUAUGAUCUAAUUAAUGUAAUUGUGUUUCACCAUGGCAAGGUGUGUUUGCAUGGCUCGUGUGUGUAUGUGUGUGUGUGAAGUUAAGCAUGAUAAACUACCUUUAGAAGGCUGCUGAAAAAUUUUUUGAAAUGCUAUUGAAUUUUUCAAAUGUUAAAAAAAUGUAAACUUACAAAAUAUUUUGGGCUUUUUAUAAAAAGGCGGGGGCAUCCAGUAGUUCAAGGUUACAAUGAGCUGUGAUCAUGCCACUGCAUUCUACCCGGGGUGACAGAGUGGGACCCUGUGCCACAGAGUGAGACCCUGUCUCAAAAAAAAACAAAAAAAACUAUGUAAAUCCAAGGUAUGAUUUAAAUACUUUCAACACAUGUUCAUUUUAAUCACGCUUGUAGCUGUGUUCCUCUUGUGUUUGUAUCUCUCAAUAUGUUUACUGUUAUUAAUGUGGCAUAUAUAUAAAAUCUUCAUUGUUAAAAAUAUUUUCAAAAAAUCAGUGCAGCUUAUAAAUUUGCAAUGAUUUAUGCCUGUGCUCAUGAUGGGUAAGAUUUUGCUUAUGUGAAACUAAAGUUA